rnacentral:rRNA from 1 species
UAAUACGAACUGUGCGAACGUUAUUCGGAAUCACUGGGCUUACAGGGUGCGUAGGCGGCUCAACAAGUCAGGUGUGAAAGCCCCCGGCUCAACCGGGGAACUGCGCUUGAAACUGUUAGGCUCGAGUCAGCUAGAGGUACACGGAACUUCCAGUGGAGCGGUGAAAUGUGUUGAUAUUGGAAGGAACACCGGAGGCGAAAGCGGUGUACUGGGGCUGGUCUGACGCUGAGGCACGAAAGCCAGGGGAGCGAACGGGAUUAGAUACCCCGGUAGUCCUGGCCGUAAACGAUGAGUGCUGGACGGGAGGGGGUUCGCCCUUUCCGGUCGGAGCGAAAGCGGGAAGCACUCCGCCUGGGGAGUAUGGUCGCAAGGCUG